rnacentral:rRNA from 1 species
CACCCGCUCCGCGGUGGCGACAUCGGCAGUCUGCGGGAACGUUCCCACUCGGAACAACCCGCAGCCAGGUCCAUUUCGGCCUGGCCCACAGACUAAGUGCCGGUGGGUUCUUCCACGAGGUAGAAUUUCUGAUAUAGUCGGUCCCCAGGGAAUACAACCCAGGGAGAGAAACGUUCCGUAGGUGAACCUGCGGAAGGAUCAUUA